rnacentral:misc_RNA from 1 species
CUGAAGGAUUACUGUUGAUGUGAUAAAACCAAAUGCAUAUUCACCAACACGAGGAUGACGGAUAAUUGCAACCUCUUUAAAUGCUGUUGUAUUCUGAUCUGGAGAAAUUGCAGCACUAAUUUGUUUGGAUGCUGAAUAUAAGUGCCUAACAAAGGGCAUUCGCUUUAUGAACCAUUCCCCAAGCCAGAAAACAGUGGAGCCUAUCCAUGAUGAGACAAAAACACCAACAAAGAAUACAAACACCAGAGAAGUGACAAAUCCAAGUCCAAAUACGUCAAUGCCAAGCCGUUCAUAAAUUGGGCUGAAGAAACCAUCAACAAACUGAACAAGCCACCAUGUAAUAAAAAAUGUCACCGCUAUGGGGAAAAGUACAACACAUCCAGUCAUAAACUUCUUUGAGACCCAACUUUGGAGAACAUAACAGCAAGCCUCGCGAGUAGAGGAAUUGGAGGAAGACGGGGGAGACUUGGCUGGAUCCUCGGGAUCGUCGCCGCCAUUGUCGGGAUGGCUGAGAGGAACAGACGUGGAUUCUUCUGCUUCUUCAGGCAUAUCUUGAGGGUUUCAGUUAGAGAAAAUCUCUGAUGUGGUUAUUGUGUUGAAGAGAUAAUGGAUGCGAGUCAAGAGGAAAACAAGUAGGCGAGUAAUAAUUAAUAUAUCAUAGAAAACUAUUAAAUAAUUAAGCGAAAAUGGGAGUGGGAGUGAAUAAUGCCACAGAGAUUUUUGCAGGUUUAAGCAAAAUACCAUGUGGCUUGUGAUGGUUGCAUUGCUUU